UGAAGAUGUUGGAAAGGAGGAGAAGGAAGAGGAAAGCAGAGGGGAUCGCCCCGCAGAAGCCAGCCUGCAGCCUGGGCUCCGUGCACCUCUGGCUGCUAAUGGGAUCCACCUCGGGUCAAGAAAGCCUGCUGUGUACCUGUCCUAGAGUGUUGUGGUUAGGAGUGUGGUCUCAGGCGCAGACUGAAAUACACUGCUGUGUGCAGUAGGAACCUCGGCUGCUGCCCUAUGUUUAUGGGAAGCACUUCAGAGCCAAGCCUGGUGUCAGGCGAGUCCUC
rnacentral:lncRNA from 1 species